UCGACCACCUCCCCUAGCGCGGAGGAGACGGGAUCAGAAAGCAACGCGGGCCUUGGGCUGCCGAGCGCUCCGCGGCUAUCACGGCGUACGGGCACGCGCUCCUUAGGCCCGUUUCCACCCUCAGCCCGUGUGCGCGAGCGACCUGCCUCCUCCUUUCCGUGACAAAUCGGGGCUAUGAAGGCUGUUUCAGUCCUAUAACCAGGCCCAAAACCAGACUGGGAAGGAUCCAAGCAAUCCAGUUCAUCUAGGAAAGCUUGAAGUUGUCCAGUCACCCCCGUUCAAUCAUCUUGGUCAAGAAUGGAACAAUUGAGCCUGGUUGAUAUUUACUGAGAUCUCCUGGGUCCAGGUUCCUUGCCAUCAAGUAGAUCCUAUUCUGGCAAAUCUGCUUUGAGCCUCCAUGAAUGGCUCCAACAGAUGAUGCAAGAAUCCUGCCUAUUUCUAUUAUCAAGUUUCAAGUGAGGUCUCAUCUUUGUUGCAAUAUGAUCAUAUUGCAUCCAGCCCAAAAGACAGAACUAUGGCAAACUGAAGUAAAUUUGCUAAUGUGUGA